rnacentral:rRNA from 1 species
GACGAACGCUGGCGGCGUGCUUAACACAUGCAAGUCGAACGAAGAGCGACGGAAGCUUGCUUCUAUCAAUCUUAGUGGCGAACGGGUGAGUAACGCGUAAUCAACCUGCCCUUCAGAGGGGGACAACAGUUGGAAACGACUGCUAAUACCGCAUACGAUCUAACCUCGGCAUCGAGGAUAGAUGAAAGGUGGCCUCUACAUGUAAGCUAUCACUGAAGGAGGGGAUUGCGUCUGAUUAGCUAGUUGGAGGGGUAACGGCCCACCAAGGCGAUGAUCAGUAGCCGGUCUGAGAGGAUGAACGGCCACAUUGGGACUGAGACACGGCCCAGACUCCUACGGGAGGCAGCAGUGGGGAAUCUUCCGCAAUGGACGAAAGUCUGACGGAGCAACGCCGCGUGAGUGAUGACGGCCUUCGGGUUGUUAAGCUCUGUUAAUCGGGACGAAAGGCCUUCUUGCGAAUAGUGAGAAGGAUUGACGGUACCGGAAUAGAAAGCCACGGCUAACUACGUG